rnacentral:rRNA from 1 species
AACAAACGCUGGCGGCGUGCCUAAUACAUGCAAGUCGAACGGGGAAAGCUUUCGGGUGAGUACUAGUGGCGCACGGGUGAGUAACGCGUGGAUAAUCUGCCCUCGAAUGGGGAAUAACUAGUCGAAAGAUUAGCUAAUACCGCAUAAGACCACGACUACUGAGGUAGUUGGGGUCAAAGGAGCAAUUCGUUUGAGGAUGAGUCCGCGUAAAAUUAGCUAGUUGGUGUGGUAAUGGCUCACCAAGGCGAUGAUCUUUAACUGGUCUGAGAGGAUGAUCAGUCACACUGGAACUGAGACACGGUCCAGACUCCUACGGGAGGCAGCAGUAGGGAAUAUUGGACAAUGGGGGCAACCCUGAUCCAGCGACGCCGCGUGAGCGAUGAAGGCCUUCGGGUCGUAGAGCUCUGUUGUAAGGGAAAAAGUUCUGAUUGUACCUUACGAGAAAGGAUCGGCUAACUUCGUGCCAGCAGCCGCGGUAA